rnacentral:rRNA from 1 species
AGCUUCGCUUCGUAGUGACCUGCGGAGGAUCAUUAGUGAUUAUGAACUGUUGCCUUCUGUGCUGGCUGCGGCAAGUGCACGGAGGUGACUUUCAUCCAACACCCUUGUGAACCUUUGGCCUCAUGCUGGCUUCGGCUGGCUGAGGAUUUACACAAACUCGCAUGUAUUGAGGACCCAUUAUGUGCGCAAGCACUAAUAUACAACUUUCAACAACGGAUCUCUUGGCUCUCGCAUCGAUGAAGAACGCAGCGAAAUGCGAUAAGUAAUGUGAAUUGCAGAAUUCAGUGAAUCAUCGAAUCUUUGAACGCACCUUGCACCCUUUGGCAUUCCGAAGGGUAUGCUCGUUUGAGUGUCAUUGUACUCUCACACUCCCAAUCCCUUGGAUUGGGAGCGGUGGACUUGGGUGUUGCCGCUUGACUGAGGCUCACCUGAAAUAUGUUAGUGCAUCUCUUGAUUGGACAUAGUACGGCGUGAUAAGUGUCUUCGCCGGCUCCUCGCAAGAGGGUGGCCGAUCGGGAGCUCUGUUGCUUCAAACUGUCUUCGGACAAUCUUCUGACAACUUGACCUCAAAUCGAGUAGGACUACCCGCUGAACUUAAGCAUAUCAAAACCGGGAAGGAAAA